UCGAGACUUUCUCCUUUUUUCCUCUCUUUAUCCUUCUGCGCUCUCUCUCUCUCUCUCUGUCAGUCUUUCUGUCUCAGAAAAGAUUGCCACUUCCAUGUCUCUUUCGUUUUGGUUUUGUUUUGUGAUUGAUUUCUAUUUGCUGGAAGGAAGCUUGGAAUCUGGAAUUGGUACUUUCCACUAUCCUCUUUUGUUUCCAAAUUAGAAUCAUUAUAGUUACUCUUUCUCUUACUCCGUUAAUCUCAUUCUUCUUCGGCAUCUGUUUCUGGGUUUGUCCUCAGAUUGAGAGAGAAAAAUAAUUGUUGAUGGGUAUUGUUUGAGGUUUGGAUUCUGAAUAUUGAAUAGAAUUUUUUAUUUUAUUUUGGCAUAUUAACAAUCAAUGUCUUUUGCUCUGAUUCUAAUUCUAAUGGAGUGCUAAAUCUUCUGGGUUUCGUCUGUUUUUGCAGUUACUGGCUUACUACUGUAGACUCUGGAAGUACUGCUUUACAAUUUAUAGUUUGAAUGAUGAAGUGGAUCAAACUGACAUUGCAAAAGCUCUUUCCGUGUCUCCAAACAUUCAUCAUCAGCUCUUGCUGGGGGAUGUAAACGUGAAUUUGUUCAUUACAGAUUACUGUAUGCGGGGAAUGACAGGCUAUGAUCUCCUCCAAAUGAUUAAGGAUUGACAUACCAGUUGCUACCAUGUCCUCAGUUGUUAAUACAUGAUUCUAAGUAGCAAAUGGAUAAACAGAGGGAAACGAUUGGGAAUGCCGUCAGUCUUGAUCUGCUGCCUAAAGAUUUAGGAUAGGCACAUUAAGGACAGGAUGUUGAUGCUUUGCAAUUUAGUACAUAUUGAUUAUCCAGAAAUGUCGAGGACCAGUUAAUCGAAGCUUCAGAAGAGAAAUGUGAAAGUCGUUUUAAGGCUACAACUCGAUGCUACAUAUGUUCCGAUGCUCACAAACCUCGAGUAUGCGACAUGUUACUACAUAACUGGAUGCUACAAACCUCAGGACCAUUGCUAUUGCAUGAAGGCCACACAUUACCGUGAUCUUGCUUAUGCUGUGUCCUUCCUGCCUUAUUACUGGAGAGAUGCAGUUCACAGUAGCUCAAGGCGCUCUAGCUUGCCACCUAAAUCAGAUCAGAAGUUCUCAUGUUUCAGAUGGGACAUUUUUGUGAAAGGGUGCUAAGAAGCAGAGGUUGCCAUGAUUCCCUUAAAUCCUGCCCACCCUAAUACUUUAUAGGUUGGUCCUGACGUUGAGGCAUUCCCAAACUAAUACUAUGGUUGAUGCGUGUAGAGAAAAGGGAGAAGUUUAUCAAGGCGUGGAGUUGAUGACUAGCAGAAGAAGUCCACUUAUGGUUUGGUCAUGUGGGCACUCAAUUUUGCAACGACUGAAAUCCUGCCGGCCUGUGAACAUUUUCUUGAUGUUUUGGGGGUGAAGAAGAACUUUGCAGCUUUUACGGGUAAAGGCAAGUGCAGCUGCAUUCCGUUUUCUUACAUUACAAUGUAACAUGAUUAUCCUUUGGUCUAGGCAUUAUCAGUACAUAUGUGAAGUUAAUAGCAUUAGAAGUUAAUUGGUGCAUCUGGGUAUUGCAUGUGUUUUCUAAUUAGUAUUGGUGUCUCAACUGCUAAGACGGUGUCGUAUUUGUAAGGAAACUCUGGUGGCCAUUUCACUUAAUAAUAUAUUUUGUAAUUACUU